rnacentral:tRNA from 1 species
GGCAGGGUGGGUGAGUGGUAAAGCACUUGACUUCCAAACAGGGGUCCCGGGUUCAAAUCCUGGUGCGGACU